UUUUCGUUCGUAUAGUGGCAAACUGAUUUAAAUAUUUUACGAGGGAAUGCACGACAACUACAGCAAGAACAUAGACCUCAAAAACAUUUUUGCUAAAGGUCUAUUGUUCGGUAAAAGUGCGUUCGAGAGGGUAGAGGAUGAUAAUCUAAGGGGAUGUCUUCGUGUAAUGCUCAAGCUUAAUAAUAAGGGCAUCAAACGAAAUUCCAGCGGAGUAUCGAUUGAGGAGGAUCUUGCUGCGCCGCUUAUUAGGUGGAUCCCGGUAAUUUCAAUGCAAUCGCAAAACAACCUGUACCAUUUCUAUACACUGAUAAAAAUGUAAACGUAACGCCUAUUGAUUUUACACAUAGAUUUUUGCAAUUAGCUGUGACAUACUGCCCUUGUAUGCAAAAGUGACGUAAACGCCACUUUGGUCAAAUUUCACUUUUUCGUAUUUUUAAGUUCGCUACGAAAAUCCGCAUCUUUUAGUGCAAACUUCAAAUAAAAAUUUACUUUUAAAACGGGAAAAACAAAGCGACGAAUACAUGCCUUUACCCGUACCAUGCAAGACAAAAAUUGAUUUCCUGAAAGAUAUACUCGAUGUCGUUUACGUCACUUUUGCAUGCAAGGACAGUAUGGACAUUAUUUGCUGGCAUAUAAAUCCAUUGAAGGAGAAGUUAUUAGAUGUAAGGACAGCAUGAUUAACUGCAUCGAUGUAUUGAUUAAAUCUUUUGACGUACUCAAUGUAAAACCGCCGGCUCAGUUGUACAAGUUAAUCGAUUUAAUUUCAAUACUGGGUUACAGGGUAAUGGUAUCCAGCAAGCGAAGCGGAGUGAAUGAGUUUUGUAAUUCUAUCUCUGACUACGAAAGAGCUAUUGCAAGCUCAGAUGAUGAAGAUUAGGAUUAGAAGGCUGACUGAUAUGUUACUAUUAAGUUAAUUUAUAAGUUUUACAUAUGAAUGAAAUACGCAUAUAUCCACAAUCCUUUAAAAAAUGUUAAAAGUUUAAAAAAAUGAGCUGAUAUAUAUUUGA